AUGGUACUUGGCUAUCCUCCGGAGGAGGCGCUGUCGUUUGCAGACCGGCUGAACUGCCGCCUGGGUUCCUUCCCCACAACUUACUUGGGGAUACCCAUUAGUGACUCCAGGCUCACCGUGGCUGAUCUCCGCCCGACGGUGACUAGGAUGCAGCACCGGGUUGAACCCUGGCGGGGGCGAUGGUUGUCGAAAGCUGCCAGGGUGAUUCUAAUCAACUCCUCGCUUGCUAGCCUUCUCUGGUUUCUCAUGAGCUUCUACAGCCUCCAUGAGACCCUCCAUCAGGAGGUCGCUAAAUACCAGUCGGGGUUUUAUUGGGCGGGCGAGGGCGACAAG
rnacentral:rRNA from 1 species